ensembl:lncRNA
CUAUAACCAUCUAUUCCCUGCGGCCGGAGGUGUCCCCUCGUAGCACGGAGUCCCACCACCGAUGUGACAAUGGGUUCUGCUGGGGGGCCACCCUGUGGUCAACCCCCCCAUUUCCCCACCCCGUCUGCUUGUCCAGGGCCGACGUCUUUCAUCCCAUCCACAGCAUUAAAUAAUUAAACGGAGGGAAUAAUCACCAGCACAGCCCCCUCGGGUUCGCACUUCCUCGGGCCCUCUGACGGCCGAUACUUUUUUGGCCCGGUAAAGUUUCUUUAGACACGCAAAGAUUUACACACCUUCCUGCGGGGUGCCUGCAGUUCCCUGCCGCUCCUCACGCAUUUCCACGAGCGGGACAGGAACAGUAAAGCAUUGAGAAACGAGGCAGCCUUCAGCCGUACCCCCGUCGGCCCUUCAGAGGUUGGGAUCCUAAUGGCUCUUUUUUGAAGUAGGGGUCAAGGUUGGGCUUUUAUUUUUUUCCCCUUCCCUUUUAUAAAUACAACGAUCUGUAUUAAUGCAAUUUCCUUUUUAGCUGUAGGAUUUAACUUUCUUGGUUUUGGGGAUGGGGAUGGGGGGGGGGGGGGGAAUGCAUUUCAAGUGAUUAAAACCGGUGCUGGCAAAAGGAGAUCCCGGCGCAGCGGAGAGCGUUGGGUGGAAACCGAGCCAAGCACGUCUCACUGCACCUAACCCUGAGUGGAUGGGCUCCGAUCCCACACCGUGGGGCAGAGCAGCACCCACCCCACUGCGGUGCUGUCUGUGCUCCUUGGCGUGUUUCCCUCUUCGCUUCUUCCCACCUUCAAACCGAAUGAACGCCAUGAAUCGCGGCGCAAAGCGCGGCGUGGGGUGAUGCUCCAUUGUGUCCUCCCAUGGGGGUCCCAGCAUCAGUGUCGCACUGUGGGGGCAUCUCGAGGGGCAGAGCCUGCAGUGCCCAUCGUGGCAUUGCAGCCCCACGGGAAGGUUUCUCCCCCAAACCCCUCAUUCCCCGCUUUCCCUUCUUUCGCUCCUUCCUUCUCCCUCUCUCUUUCUUUCCCUGCCAGCAAUCCCAGUCCCAGAUGAACCAAUACUCCGUGGCUCUGCUAUUUCCCUUUUAUUCCCCCCCCCCCCCCC